rnacentral:rRNA from 1 species
AUACGGAGGGUGCAAGCGUUGUUCGGAAUCACUGGGCGUAAAGGGCGCGCAGGCGGUUUGGUAAGUCAGAUGUGAAAGCCCAUGGCUCAACCAUGGAAGUGCAUUUGAAACUGUCAGACUUGAGUACUAGAGGGGAAAGUGGAAUUCCCGGUGUAGAGGUGAAAUUCGUAGAUAUCGGGAGGAAUACCGGUGGCGAAGGCGACUUUCUGGCUAGAUACUGACGCUGAGGCGCGAAAGCGUGGGGAGCAAACAGGAGUAGAAACCCCGGUAGUCC